AACUGACGUAGUGUAGAAAACGCAAUAAGUUGUAACCUUAGAGAGGCUAAUGCCGCAGUUU
rnacentral:tRNA from 1 species